GUCGACAGAAAACUGUAGAUACGAAGACGUGCUGCCGUAAUGAAGGCUGUCGUGGGAUACAAGGCCAGUUCUGUGGUCCGUGUCUUCGGAACCGAUACGGCGAAGACGUCAAAGUGGCCCCUCUGGAUCCGGGCUGGCAUUGUCCUCCGUGUCGUGGAAUCUGUAACUGCAGCUUUUGUCGUCAGCGUGACGGUCGCUGUCCGACAGGCAUUCUGUUCCCGCUGGCUCAGUACCACGGCUUUUCUGAUGUUCACUCUUACCUGUGCAGGUGAGUCUUGGGUUUGUACUGUCAGAUUGUUAGUAGUUAAAUAUAGAAAGAGUUUAGAGGCUUAGUGUGAUAGGGCGAUAUGGCUCUAAAAUAAUAUCACAAUAUUUCAUGGUAUUAUUAAGAAGACAAUACUCUUAGUGAUAUGACAGGACGCUGAUCUAAAAAAACAUAUUUCAAGAAUACAUUACUGCAACAAAAUUAAAAUAAAUUUAUUAUUGCAUACA
rnacentral:lncRNA from 1 species